rnacentral:rRNA from 1 species
UGCAGAAGAAGCACCGGCUAACUCCGUGCCAGCAGCCGCGGUAAUACGGAGGGUGCGAGCGUUAAUCGGAAUUACUGGGCGUAAAGCGCAUGCAGGUGGUUUGUUAAGUCAGAUGUGAAAGCCCGGGGCUCAACCUCGGAAUUGCAUUUGAAACUGGCAAACUAGAGUACUGUAGAGGGGGUAGAAUUUCAGGUGUAGCGGUGAAAUGCGUAGAGAUCUGAAGGAAUACCGGUGGCGAAGGCGGCCCCCUGGACAGAUACUGACACUCAGAUGCGAAAGCGUGGGGAGCAAACAGGAUUAGAUACCCUCGGUAG